GUCUAAAGUCUAGAUCAAGAGGUAUAAAACUACUCCUACACUUUGUUCUUCAAUAAAUUGUUUUUGAUGCAUCAUACAUAAACCUAUGCAUCUUGAAGGGGAUUUGCAUGACUAUAGCUUUGAUAUUAUUUGAUAACAUGCUUCCGUUGCUUUCGUAUAUAAAUUUUGAAUUGUAUAUGCAUGCUAGUCACUAGAAAUCCCACAUGAAAUCUCACCAUUUCCCUUCAAGUGGUAUCAGAGCCAAAGGUUUAUGUUUGAUGUGUCCUUUUGGAUUUUAUGCAUAUGGGUUUUAAUUUUAUGUAUGACAUGUUAUUGCUUCAUUCAAAGUAUGUUUAUCUUUUGUUUUUCAAAUGUUGAAAAAUAUGAAUCAAUAGUUGAAAAGAUAUGUAUGCAAAAGUGUUUUGGAUGCAUGAAUGAAGAUUGAGUUUAGAACAAAAUUUUGGGGUUUUGUUCCAAAAGGGGGCACGGGAAAGGGGGUUUUUUGGCUAAGUGUUUGUGUUUUAUUUUGAAUCACACACACACACUUGAAGCUAGAAAGAAUAGAUCUUGUCACUUUUGUUUUUGGGUUUGAAAAAAAUCACCAAGAAAGUACAAAUCUUGAAAUUGUUUACAUGGUUUUGUUCUUGGUGUUCAUUGUUUGGUUUUUGGUGAAAAUGGUUUCAUUUGUUUUUCAUACAUUGUUUUGUGGUUUUGGUUGGUAAACUUACCAUCCAUAGCUUUCCCAAAAUUUAUUAAACCCUAGACUUGACUAGGUGAAUUUCCAUCACCAUUAGUCUAAAGUCCUUAAAGCCUAAGUCAAGUGACAAGUAAAAUUUGGAUUUUUCUACUUUAUGUUGAUUUAUUGCAAUAUAGGUGAGACCUCCCAUCCCUCUUAAUGUGGCCGGCCACCCUAGUGGAUUUAUCCACUUGUGGGGCUAUUUUGUAAAUUUUAAAAAGUUGAUAAUACUUUCAAGUAUUUACGGUUUGACCCCUAACUUUUUGUAUUUGCAUUUAGGCCCCUACUAACUAGAAAGUUAAAAUAUUUGAUUUUAAUUUUGUUAGUUGUUUAAACUCAUAAUACUAUUAUGCCCAUAUGCACUAAAUCUAAUUGUUUAUGUUGCAUUCCAAUUAAUUAUUUAAUAUGAUUAAGUAGUUAGAAAAUGGUUGACUAUGGACUUAUGCCUUAAACGAUAAUUGAGCUAUGAGAAAGGGCGCUAAACUCAAAUUGUUUGAACCUUUGGAAUGUGUUUAAUUACUGUUUCAAUUGGACCUUGUCAUGAUGGACUUUAAUCAUUCUCUCCCUCUUAGUAUGUGUAAUUUGUAGGAAUUUGUACAAAUCGGUUUGUAAUUCUUAUUACUUCUUAAUCUCUUUUAAUUGGUUGAUUCCCUCUAGUACUAGACUAGAGUUUCUUUAACUAUUGGUAAGGAGACAUAAUUAAAAGAGGGUUUUGACAUGAGAUUAAAGAUUAAAUGGGUCCAACGCUCUAAUUAGCAAUGAAUGAUUGUCUUUCAUUUCUAAUGGCUCAAUGAAAAAUUGUUUUAAUUAGAUUGAAAAGCACGUAAUUAAAAUGACACAACCUCCCCGAGUUCUUAUUCAACAAUGUUGGCUCGUUGUUGCAAUAACCCAAUAAGUCCAUGGUCAUCCAAGAGCCUAAGAUAACUAUAAAGUCCAAUUUCAAAGGAAUGCAAAAACCGUAGUAGUAAUAGUUACUUCCAAUAUUUGAAAAAUUCGUUUUUGAUAUUGAUUUGUUUUUCUCAAAACAAAUAGUGGGAGUAUCAUACGCUACUAAAGUAUAAUGAAUAUAAUUAGUAGUUAUAUAUAUCUCCAAUAUUUUGAAAAAUGUUUUGAUAUUGAUUUGUUUUAUGAAAACAAAUAGUGGGGAUAUCAUAUGCUACUAAUUUCAUUAACUUUGGACUAGUAGUUAUAAUAGGAUACAAUUUAUUUGAAUGUGAUUAAAUAAAUAAAAAAAAAUGAUGAGACCUUAAAAUCCCUCAACCAACAAACAAUUUUAAGUUGAAAGCGGAGAGGUGCUAUUGAACACUUCUUCGUGGCCUUCCACCAUGGUAGGCUCCAAUCGUUUAUCACUUGUACACCGCCUUCACCCUAUCAUGGGGAAGUGCAAAGUGCAUGCUUAUACUCAGGAGGAGUCUAUAUAAACAUUUGAUGAGGUGAAGGUAGGCAACGAGUGUGGCCAGCAUCAUAUCAUCGUGAGGUCAUACUUGAACCCCUAUCUAAACCGGCAUGGUGGGUCGAACUUAACUAAGAGAAAUGGUGCCAACAUCGUAUCAUCGUGAGGCAUUGUUCUCUAGAGGCCAAAUAGAUGGGUAAUCACAAGAGGUUGUUGUGAAUGGGUAAGUGUACCCUCUCAUUAUUAUUUUUGCUAGCCGACAUCGUAUCAUCGUGAGGUGGGCUUGGUAAUAGUGAGCCUCCCGUAACCCGCUAGGAGCUUUCUUUGAAAUCUCCCGGAUUCCAUCUUGAGGGAUAUGGAAUUUGCCAAAAAUGGUGGGUGGUGUCAUUCGGUUUAAAAACCCGAAUCGUUUGACUUAAUCGAUAAUCAAACUAAUUUAUUUUAUUGUUUAUGUAUUUAGAUAUGGUUGGAAGCACACUCGCGAAAAUACUCGACAAACAUUGCCUAGAGGGGCACAAUUUCCCAUCAUGGUAUCGUAAUGUCAAGAUUCUCCUAACAUUGGAGAAGAUUGUUUACGUGCUAGACAAGGCUCCACCUCACAUACCUCUCGGCCCUAAGGCCACUGAGGAUGAACGUGCUAAGUAUGACAAGCACGUUGAAGAUGACACACAAGCCAAGUGCUAUCUGUUGGCUUCCAUGAAUGAGGAGCUACAGAGACAGCACGAGGUCAUGGACAGUGCAGCUUCCAUCGUACUCCAUCUUACGGAGUUAUAUCGUGAAGGGACGCGCAACCGUCGCUUUAGCACUGUUAGUGAACUUGUGAAGACCAAGAUGGUCAAGGGGGCUCCAGUGCAUCAACGUGUACUGAAGAUGAUAUGACUCAUUGAACAAUUGGAGAACCUAGGUACUCCACUUGACGGGGAAUUGGCCCAGGACUUCAUUUUGGCUUCUUUUUCUGAUUCAUUCUCGCAGUUCGUUAUGAACUACAAUAUGAAUAAGAUGGAUAGUACUCUCUUUGAGUUACUAAACAUGUUAGUAACUGUCGAGAAGACUAUGAAGAAAGAGAACGUUGUAGGGACUUUUGCAGUAGCCUAUAACAAGCCAUCCUCUUCCAAGGCUAAGCCGCAAGGCCAAGGCAAAGGGAAGGAGAAGAAGUCUCCCACUCCUAAGCCGCAAGGAGGAGUGAGGAAAAAGAAGGCAAAGGAGCCCAAGGGGACUUGCCACCACUAUGGAAAUGAGGGUCAUUGGAAGAGGAAUUGCAGGUUAUACCUUGCAACUCUUAAGGACAAGCCACAAGGUAUGGUUUAUGUUUAUCUUCAAUUCUAAUUGUUAGAUCUUCUAAAAAUUUAUAUUUGAUAUAAAGGGCUAAUCACUUGUAUAAUUGUAUAUAGGUGGAGGAGCCAAGUAGAAGAGGAACAAGCAAAGAAAAGUGUGGAGAAGGGUUCGGCUACCAUGUUUUUUGCUUACUACUUAGGAAGUUUGUUAGGCAUUUAAAGAUAGUCUUUAAACUUUCUUACUUUGUUAAGAACUUAUUAAGUGGCUUCAUAUGAUGGAAAACCACUAUUAGUGCCUAAAUGUAUGAAGGUAUUUAAUUAGUCUCUAAAUGUAUAGAGCUAAUUCUUUUUGUAUUAAACAUUAUGAAUGUUUGAAUUAUCAUAUUAAUGUAAUGUGAUGAAUGCCUUCUAAUAUAUUAUUUCCUUAAAGUAGUGUUAUGAAUUGAAUAUUGUCUUGUAGUAUCCUAGUAGAGAUACAAGAAUUAUAUCAGUUAUUGUAAUGUGAUAACCAAACUUUAGACUUAUCAAUUAUGGAUAGAUCACACAUGUUGGACAUAGAAGGAUACAAUGAAUCUUUAGAUUUGGUUCCAAUUGUCUACCUAUGAGUUCUAUAUGAAUUGACAAAGGUCUAGAAAUUCCUUUCUUGAAGAAAAGGAAGAUCACAUUAUAAUGAUAUAAGUAAUAAGAAAAACGUUUCUUAUAUGGUUAUCACUUAAACCAUAAUAAUCAAGAUCACUCUUGAUUCAAUUAGUAGUUUUGAACAACUAAUUAGGCUUUCUUAAAAUUGGUUUUAAAAUGUCAAUUGUGUUAGUGAUUAAACCAAGAAAGAAGUGUCUAAAUCUAUAAAAUGUUUAAAGACUUUAGUCACUUAAUAACGAGCCAUUAACUUAGUGAAGAUUGAAACAAACGAGCUUGAAAGGUUUUAAAGCUACUACACAAUGUCCUCUACCCGUAUACUCCACGUUUAUACAUUUUGAAUGUAUGAAGUGAUUUCUCAUUAAAGUCAUGAGAAAUAGUGGGAGGUGUGAAAAAGGAUAUAAACUUGAAUAUGAUUGGUUUAUAGUUGUCUAAAGAAUAAUAGUAAUUGACUAUUAUUAAGAGUUUGUAAUUUUAAUUGUUAAAGGACUCAAGCUCUUCAAAAGUUAAAAUUCUAUGUUGUGUAACAUUCUAAAGAAUAAUCUUUGAAUGUUGGUUUCGUCAACCUAACAUAAAAUGGUUAUAUGUUGGGAGUUGUCCAUCAUUCUCUUUAAUGAGAACAAGCUAAUAACAAAGCGUAUGGACAAAUUUGAUGAAACAAAAGGGAAUAGUUUUAAAAUGAGUCACAACAUAUGGUUUAACGACAAGACAAUCCAAAUUCAACAUCUCAUGUAACUAUAAUGCUCUAUGUAGUUUUGAUAAAGAAUUAUAUCAACCACCUAGAAGGAAUGGUUGAGUUUCUAUAUCCUUAGUAGGAGUCAUGCUUCCACUAAAGACUUGGAUAAUUCUUAUAUGACUACAUUAAAGGUCUUAGUAUGACUAAAACUUGAAGUAUGGUGUAUGACACCAUAUAAUUUAAAUUAAUAGACUUGAUAAAACAAGUCACACAUAUCAAAUGGAAUUACUUGAGAAGGAAUUCUUUUAUGUAUGUUCGUUUAAUUAACUUGUGUUAGCUAGAGUUGUUGAUAGUCCCAAAAUUGUUGAGACAUCAUCAAUAAGCUAAUGGAUCUUAAUGAUUGUCAAUAGAUCCAAGACAAGUUAGUGGGAGCAAUAUGCAUUCAAAUCAAGAAAAUGUAAGUGUUAAGUUUUUUGAAUGAAUGCUAAGUUACAACAAGGCCAGUGGGAGUGAUGUCAUAAUUUGAGCAACAAGAUAUGAAUAAUGUCUAUUUGAUAAACUUGAUAAAACAUAGAUGUUACUCGAAAAAUGACAAAACGUGACACGGUCAAUUUUAAAGUAUAGACUUGAAAUUGGACUUAUUGAUAUAGCAAGGCUAUCUCAAGGAUGUUAUUUGGGGAAAUUAAAUCUCAAAUGUUGAAGAUUUGAGAAGGUGUUUUCCUAUAUGAUAGAAAAUCACUUUCAUAACCCUUAUAAUGAAUGUGUCCUAAAAUCACAAAAGGGACACAUGUAUGGACUUGUGAGAUGAUAUCCAAAGGUGAAAAGUCACAGGGGUUGUCACUUUAAGAUAUUACUAUAGCCCAGGAUCAGAACCAUAGCAACUGAUAGAGUAUUAUUUCCUUUAAGAAAGGAACAUCAGAGUGGGACUCUGGAAGAGUGCAUUCACUUAGGUUAUUAACCAAAGUGAAAAAUAACCCAUUUUAACAAAUGGAACUUCAUAAUGGAUGAAGUACUAAUCAUAUGAAUGUAUUGUUAGUAUUGUAAUACAAUGGUCUCAAGGUUGGAGCAAAGUAUGUAUAAAGUAUACAAACGAAAUAUAUGGCGAUAUAUUGUUUUAGAAACUGCUUCAAAAGGUGUUUUGAAUAGAAGGGGUUCUUAUAGAACCAAUGAUUGAAUCCAAACCAUAAGGUUGUUAGUUGGACACUACGACGUAAUGGGGCGAUAGCUCAAGCCAUGAAAUCAAGGUCUCAUCAAAGUAUUUGAACACAAGAAAGAGACAUCAUCAAAUGUUUUAGAAACAUUAGAUAAGUAAAUCCCUUUUAUAAAUUAAAAGGAUUAAUACAUAACCAAGUUAACCUACGAGCAUAAGCUCACUCAACUAGUAUGCCCUGAAAGUCAAUCUUUGGAAGAAACCUUUCAGGACAAUGAAUGGAUGUAUAGAUGAUUCUUGUACAUCAAAUGGCAAAUAUACUAAUUAGGACUAUCUCAACACACGAUAUAUGUCCUAAAUAGUGAAUCCAUGGACAAUGGAUUGAUGGAAGAAGUAAUCUAAUGAUGUUAGACUACAGAGACCUUCUUCACAUAACAAUCAUGUCCAAAAGGUUCCUGGUCUAGGAUUGUCGGAGGGAUACUGACAAUGCAUAGACCGGUACAUACUAUGUCCGCUUCAAUUGGAAGGAUGGAAAGUCUCGUCCCAUUCAUGUAGUGACACUAAGACAGGUAUGUAGGUGCUCAUUAAGGGAAUGAGUUCACUGAACACAAUCGAACGAGAGUACUUGCAUGGAGGUCUACUCACAUGUCAAGCAAGUAACUCUAAUGGUUGGAAUAAUGUAAGUAGUCAUUUGACCUGAGACAUCAUAGUUGUCUUAUGGUUAGGUACUUGAUCUUUAAUUAUGUCAAAGUCACUCCAUGCGGGUGUCCACGGCAUAGUUGGGGUUAAGCCACUUAGUCAUGGAGGCAAGUGAAUGCGCAACAAGGAAUCUCUAAUCCUCGUUAAGAGAGGAUGAAUACUCUAAGAUAUGAUUCGGGAAUCUUCGGCCGAAGUAUCGAGCGUAAUAAAGGAAAGCGUUCCUAUACGACUCAAAUGAAUCAUAUAAGAAGGAAUAAUCACAUUAGGGGUUUGACAUAAUAUAUCCAUACCCUAGUAAUGUGAUUGAGAGUAUUGUUUUAGAGAAGGAUCGAAUUACAUUGUAAUUCCAACUGAAUAGGUUCUCCGAACAAAUUCUACAUUAACUUGGGUAGCCAUGAUAUAUGGUUAGAUGUCACUCAUGACUUGUGAGUUCUUCUAGAUGAUUAAAUGUAGUCGUCAAAGAAGAAGGUGAAUUAAAAGUAAGUUUUAAUUCACUAAGUGAUUGGAUUAAAAAUAAUCAAUUGGAUUGGUGCCAAUCACCUCACUGCCUUGCUAAUUAGAACCUAAAAUGAUUGUUCACCAAUACACUCUUGUAGUGAGUAACUAAUGGAUGAUGGAAAUAAUUAAUUGGAUUAAUUAAGUGUUGUGAUUAAUUAGAAUGUCUAAAGAAAUCAUAAAAGUGAUAAAAGAUCGUUUUGGGCUUAAAGAAAAGUUCGGGUCUAAUUGGGACCAUUGGGGCUAAACCCAUUGGGCUUUUAUUCAAGCAUAUGAUGACUUGAAAUAAUAAAAGCCCGAAGCCCAAACAACACUAAAGGGGCCGGCCAAAGGAGGGAGAGAGAGAGUCAAAUGUGAACUUGUUUCUUUUUGGUUAUAAAAGGAACUUUAUAGCACAAAGUUUUAUUAGGGUUUUUUGAAGUGUUAAAACAACAAAAGAGAAAAAGAAAAUAUCUCUCUCAACACUCAAAGGGCCGGCCACCAGAAGGGGAUUUAGCUAAUCAUCUUCUCACCCUUUUGGUUAUUCCUUCAUCCUUCUCACUACUCCAGUGGGUGAGGAUCUUUAGAGGUCUUCAACUUUGGAGACUUAAGGAGAACCAAGGAGCACUCAUUCUAACAAAGUGGAGGAGGCAAGGAGGGAGGCUAGGCUCAAGGAGUUCCAACAACAAAGGGCUUGGAGGUGGUCCAUCCUUGGUCUAAAGUCUAGAUCAAGAGGUAUAAAACUACUCCUACAGUUUGUUCUUCAAUAAAUUGUUUUUGAUGCAUCAUACAUAAACCUAUGCAUCUUGAAGGGGAUUUGCAUGACUAUAGCUUUGAUAUUAUUUGAUAACAUGCUUCCGUUGCUUUCGUAUAUAAAUUUUGAAUUGUAUAUGCAUGCUAGUCACUAGAAAUCCCACAUGAAAUCUCACCAUUUCCCUUCACCAAGGAGCAAGAAGACUAAGGAAACAAGGCCCUCACAUGGGUGACUAUCCUUUGCUAAGCAAAGAGGUGCUUUAAAGGUAUAAAAGUUUCUCAACUCUUUCCUUUAAGAUUUGAGUUGAGUCUUGGUUUACCACAACUACUAGGCCUUAAAUUUGAUGGGUAAAGUUUUGUUUUUGAGUGCAUACAAGCAUGAUUCCACCUUUAUUUGUUAAUUGCAUGCAUAGAUGUUGCUCAAAUGAACUUGUUUUCACAAAUUUUUCCUUCAAGUGGUAUCAGAGCCUAGGUCUAGUAGUUGGUGAAUCCUUUUGGGUUUUGUAUUUUUUAUAGUUUAUGAUUUGAAUGUUGUAAUUGUUACAAGCUUUAUUCUUACUUUUUUGAAUGUACAUUUUGUUAGAAAAUUAGACAUCUCAAAAGUUGUAGAUGUAAUUCAUUUAAGCAUGAAUUUUGGAGCUAAAAUUUGGUGCCAUGUUUGUAACAUCCCACAUCGCCUAGGGGAGUGGAUCCUGUAAGCCUUAUAUGUAUAUUCCCAUCAGUACCUAGCAUGAGGUCUUUUGGGAACUCACUGGCUUUGGGUUCCAUCAGAAGUCCGAAGUUAAGCGAGUUCGCGGAAGAGCAAUUCGAGGAUGGGUGACCAACUGGAAGUUCUCAUGUUAGUUCCUAAAAACAAAACCAUGAGGACGUAGUCAGGGCCUAAAGCAUACAAUAUCGUGUUAUUGUGGAGUCGAGCUUGGGAUGUGGUGGGGGCCCUGGCCGAGAUGUGACAAUUUGG
rnacentral:lncRNA from 1 species